ensembl:snoRNA SNORA70 Small nucleolar RNA SNORA70
CUAUAGGUAGUGAAUCCAGCCAUGUUUUCUUUCUCCUGGGGCCCAGCGUGCAGUGGCUGCAAACAGCAUCCUCUUUGAAACUGUCUCUGUACAGCGUGUUGCACAUGGAGGCUGUCCUAAGGAUCCUGGAGACAGUG